rnacentral:tRNA from 1 species
GGUUGUGGCUCAGUGGGUAGAGCGCCCACCUAGCAUGCACGGGGCACUGGGUUCAAUCCUCAGCACCA